rnacentral:tRNA from 1 species
AAGGCUUUAAGUUAACCAAACUAAUAGCCUUCAAAGCUGCAAAUAAAGUAUAUAUCUUUAAGCCUUA